AUUUAUGUAGUUUAUAUUAAAACAUUACACUUUCACUGUAAAAAUAAAAUUUAUUAUUUUCAUAAAUA
rnacentral:tRNA from 1 species